GCACAACACAAGAAAGCAUUGAAUUUCUCUCUAUUAUUGGUCAACACAAUUUGUUCAUCUAAAAUAUCAAUUUUAUCUUUGUGUGCAAUGACAGGUGGUAUUCAAAUAGACAUAGCAAAAAGAUUGAGCGUGGGAGCUCCGAGGUGAAGAUAGAAAAGGAUCGUCUAAAAUAGCUUUUGUAAACAAUGAUUCCUUAAUAAUUAAAAUAGAGUGGUGGUUAUAAUGUGAUGAAAGAUCAUUAACAUAUGCAUUGGGGCCAACAUGCUUUAAAAUUUUAAAAGGACGAACACUAUAGGCUUGCAACAUAACAUAAUCCCCAAUAUUAAAUUCAAAAUAUCGUUUAUGCAAAUCAGCUCGUUGUUUAUAUGAAGCGUUACUUGUUUCAAGUUGUUUAUUGAUUUAAGUAUGCAAGUCAUGAAGAUAUAGCACGACGACCUCAACUAACAUAGACACAUAAGUAUGUGGGGAUAUGGGAAUAAGGUCUAAAGGAUUCCUAGGUUCAUAACUAUGAAUAACUUCCAAGGGACUCAUAGACCGAUUCACUGAAUUGUUAUGUGUAAUUUGAAGCGUUGGGAAGAUUAAAUCCUAACUCCCAAGGUUUUCCUUAAAUAUGGCAUGAUUACGUAAAUCAUCAGUACCUUUAGGUUGGUUAAGAAUACUAUAUACAACACUUGACUGAGAGGUAUCAAAAAGAAGGGAUAUAACAUCUAGUUUCUCCGGAAGGGUCCGAAUAACACCUAAGGAGGUGUCUUCACUAUCAUCCAAAUCAUCAGAAUCUUCAAGUUUAGGUUUGUAAACUAGAUCUUCUAACAGCUCAUCUAUAACAUUCUUUCGUUUCUCAAUGACUAAGACUCGUUUAGACAUUUAUGGCCAAAGUCCUUACAGUUGAAGCACUGCAUGGUUCCUUGGUAACUUCUAGCUUGAUCAGGGAAACCACAGAAAAUGAAUCUGCUAAUGUAGGUUACAGAUUCGAUCAAGAGGAAGAAACUUAUAAUAUCGUAGCCGCUCAUGGUUAUUUUGGCCGAUUAAUCUUCCAAUAAAACAAAAGGAUGAUUGUCAAUACAGCUUCUAUAUAAAGAUGGCCUUGAAAUAUCACGACCUUUACACUUACUUUCCCAAAUGAGAGGAACAUUAGACAGGAAAGGCUUUAUGAUAGACUUAUGAUAGUGUGACGCUAAUGAGAUGGGUAAACGAUGAUGAUCGCGCUUUUCAUAUGAAAUAUUAAUAAAUAACUCAUCUCGAGCUAAAAAGUACGCAUGAUCAAAAGUAGUGAUAUCUCAAAGGAAUCCUCUCUUAGACCCUGUUUAAACUUAUUUAAAGUCAAGGCCUCAUCUUCAAUGAUAUGAUAUUUCAUUUGAAAUUCCUCAAAUUGAGCAAUUACUCAGUCACUGACCAAUUCCCUUAUGUAAGGGUACCCC
rnacentral:lncRNA from 1 species